rnacentral:rRNA from 1 species
AAAGUCGGUAACACCCGAAGCCGGUGGCCCAACCCCUUGUGGGAGGGAGCUGUCGAAGGUGGGACUGGCGAUUGGGACGAAGUCGUAACAAGGUAGCCGUACCGGAAGGUGCGGCUGGAUCACCUCCUUUCUAAGGAG